UACGUAGGGGGCGAGCGUUGUCCGGAAUGAUUGGGUGUAAAGGGAGCGUAGACGGCCACGCAAGUCUGAAGUGAAAUGCCAGUGCUCAACACUGGAACUGCUUUGGAAACUGCUUGGCUGGAGUGCAGGAGAGGUAAGUGGAAUUCCUAGUGUAGCGGUGAAAUGCGUAGAUAUUAGGAGGAACACCAGUGGCGAAGGCGGCUUACUGGACUGUAACUGACGUUGAGGCUCGAAGGCGUGGGGAGCAA
rnacentral:rRNA from 1 species